rnacentral:rRNA from 1 species
GACGAACGCUGGCGGCGUGCCUAAUACAUGCAAGUAGAACGCUGAAGGAGGAGCUUGCUCUUCUGGAUGAGUUGCGAACGGGUGAGUAACACGUAAGUAACCUGCCUGGUAGCGGGGGAUAACUAUUGGAAACGAUAGCUAAUACCGCAUAACAGCAGAUGUUGCAUGACAUUUACUUGAAAGUUGCAAUUGCUGCACUACCAGAUGGACCUGCGUUGUUUUAGGUAGUGGGAGGGGUAACGGCUCACUAUGGCGAGGAUACAUAGCCGAAGGGCGACGGGGGUUAGCCAGACUGAGAGGGAGACACGGCACAGUGGGCUUCGGGAGGCAGCAGUAGGGAAUCGUGGGCAAUGGACGGAAGUCUGAGCGAGCUACGCCGCGUGAGGGAAGAAGGGUUUCGGGUCGUAAAGCUCUGUUGUAAGGGAAGAACGAGUGUGAGAGUGGAAAGUUCACACUGUGACGGUAACUGACAAGAAAGGGACGGCUAACUACGUG